rnacentral:rRNA from 1 species
AUUGAACGCUGGCGGCAGGCCUAACACAUGCAAGUCGAACGAGUGGCGGACGGGUGAGUAAUGUCUGGGAAACUGCCCGAUGGGGGGGGAUAACUACUGGAAACGGUAGCUAAUACCGCAUACCAUCGGAUGUGCCCAGAUGGGAUUAGCAAGUAGGUGGGGUAACGGCUCACCUAGGCGACGAUCCCUAGCUGGUCUGAGAGGAUGACCAGCCGCACUGCAACUGAGGCACGGUCCAGACUCCUACGGGAGGCAGCAGUGGGGAAUAUUGCACAAUGGGCGCAAGCCUGAUGCAGCCAUGCGGCGUGUAUGAAGCAGGCCUUCGGGUUGUAAAGUACUUUCAGCGAGGAGGCGUUACUCGCAGAAGAAGCACCUGCUAACUCCGUGCCAGCAGCCGCGGUAAUUC